AUAACUAUACCAACACUUGUAAAAAUAAUUUACAGUACCCGGCAGGAAAUAUUGUACAUCGAUCUUUAGAAGGAGAUAGCGGAUUUGUAGAGCGUUGUCCCUGUCGUUGAGACCGACAAAACGUCACAUAGGUAUGAGUGACAGCGACAAUGUUUUCUUUCGUGUCGCAAUGUC